AGGAGAACGGGGACCUGGGUUCGCUGUGGCAGCUGCAGUGCGAGUCGGGAAGGGGACGGCCCCGGGUUGCUCCGCGGAGCGGCAGGGUAGGGGGUCGGGGCCCGCGCGUUCCCUCUCGGCCCCGCGGAGCGGCGGCGUCGAGGCCGCCCGCCGUCCGGGCAGCGCACCGCCGCGGGCCCUCGCGACCUCGAGAGCGCGGGUCCGGGACUUGGCGAUGCUCGCCGAGGCCGUGGGAAGAGAUUCCGGGCAGCGGAGCAUUUGCAAAACAUGCUCUGUGGUGAGCACACCCGAAGCCUAUAUGUGGGGAGUAGAUGGCUGGAAAAGCUUACUGACUUGGCACUUGAUGAAGAUUCCUUAUAGAUUUCCCAGAUCGACUGACUAAUUGGAAUAGGUCUGAGAGCUGGGCUUCCGGGGCAAGUUUUACUGAGAAAUACAAUACACAAUGGUACAGCAAAACCGUCUGGGUUUCAGAGCUGCCUGCCGAGAUGCAGAUACCGUGCUGUGAUUGGAUGGUCCUUGUUGUUCCAACACCACGUGCAUCUGAGAAACAGGGGCCCCCAUCAGGUGAAGCCACCCUGAGGGUUCUAGGACACUCGGUGUCUGCCCUCCCAGGAGCCGCUGUGACCCGACAGCCCUGGAGUCUCUUUGGUGGGAAAGAUAAUAGGAAUUCAGAGGCAAACAGUGCCAGAAGAAAUGUUUGUAAUGGCUUCAACACAGCCCUGGAGUCAACCAGACACCAAAGCAUAGUGAUGUGGGGCCCACCGGACUGAGGAUGGAAGUCUAGCUCUGUUCUUCAGCUCUCCCCAUUCUAUGAUGUGGAUAAUCAGAGUACCUAUCUGCUACGCCGACCCCUCCCUGCAGAAACGACAAUGAACAAAGGGUUCCCCUGUGCUUGGAUUGUCUUCCACCAGGGUGGAAAGGAAGAUCGUGGUUUCAUCCCAUGUCCAAUUCUGGAAAUCUGAGGAAAGAGGUUCCAAAUAUUGUGAGAAGGCUUCCCCAGACUUCACCCCUCCAGAGACUGGCAGCUGGGCUCCACAGUGAAUAGUGCUCUGAGGCCAAGGUGCAAGGUGAGUCCCCCAAAGCUCACUUGUCAUUAAGAAGGAAGUUUCCCCAGCAUGUGAUAGACAAGGUGCUCUUGUCUGUGAUCCUGGAGGCACUGUCCUCGAUACUCUGCAGGUUUGGGAACACAUGCGGUAGAAGCAAGGGGUUGCUUGUCCUCCAACAGAGGGUGUUUUGGAAAAUGGCUAAAGCUUCCUGCUCUGGUACAAUUGGCUUGAAACACUAAUCCUGGCAUUUGAAGAGAACAUCCCAUUCUCCACUUGCCUUGUUAUCCCAUUGUGCACAACGUGGAAAUGGCUUGGGUCGUUAUCAGGAACCUGUCAUGUCACCAUGUUCCAAGUUACCAGAGAAGGAACCAAGAGUUCUGUCUCUGAACCUCUCUCUCAUGUAGCAGUGUAUAACGUGUGGUUAGUCAGAAGUUAAUACGAUGAAACCAUGGGUAUCUUAGAGAUGGAGGUGAUCUUAUGGGAUAGUUCACUAUCAUCGGCCCAACCCACAUUUCUGGUAAAUGAUCUGCGCACUUUCAUCCUGCAUUUCCUGCUGGACAGUAGGGCCCAUCCUCUUUCCCUGGCCAGAGAUGGCCUUUCACGGCGUCCCUUUCUUUUCCCCAGCCCCAACUUCUGAUUUCAGAUGUGUCCAAUGGGAGGAAGGGUCCAAAGGGGUCUGGAUACAGUGCCGUCAGUGCUUCUCAGGUAAAAGUCCCGUAGAGGUUCAAAGGUGCUCCCAAGAGCUAGUGUCUUCUCUUACCCAGCAGUGUCCUGGGAUCCAGGCCCUUAAUUGUGUGGGUGAUGAGCUGCAGCGGUGCCUCUGCCUUGGUUACUUUCUGGGUGUCGUGAGGCCUAGAAGGAAGCAGACCAUAAUAUCCCAGGACAAGAUGGGUAUGUCCCGUUCGUAUUUGGGUGGGGGGCCCGUUUUCCCUUGUCACUGAGAUUUCCUCAGCUGUGGCUGAAGGAGGUGCCUUGUCUUUCUAAAGAGCAGCAGGAUUCUCAAUCCAGGGCAGGGUCUGAAGGAAGCUGACUAAACUGAACAUUUUGAUAAGGAAUGUGGGCUUUGGGGAGCUGAAGUGAACGAAGUCUCAGGAUAACCUCUCACUGUUUCUGGACAGUUGUGAAAAUGAAACAUCAGGAGGAGGUCAAAAACCUCCUGUCUGAACUUGGGAAUGUGACAAUGUCUCUCUUCCCAGAGUGGAACCUGCUCAUAGCUCAGGUGUUUGAGACCCUGGAAUACAGAACAAAAGGCAGACCAUGCUUGUCUCUGUGACACAGAUCUUCCCUCAGCUCAGAACCAUCACACCUUGGACAUGAACUUCCAGCUACUUCAGGGACCUCACCCUAUAAGUCACCAAACCCCAAGUAUCCCAGUGCCACGCAGAACCCAGAACGCAAUCCAGGAAAGCACAACUCACAGACCUCAAAUCUUUGGACACACAAUACCUCACACUUGACUGAACCUAGAUUGCUCAGCUCAGUGAAUGAGGCCAGGGACUCAGAAGAGCCCUGAGAUGUCCAGUUCUGAAAUAUAGACUCAACUGCAUGCCAACAACUUCAUAACUCACGACUUAAAAACCCAAAUAGCUCCCAGACCUCCCACCCUGGACAUACAAAUCCACAAAAGCUUGGAUCCCUACCCUGGUAUGCAGGCACAUGCACAUCUGAGAGGACUGGUACUGAAAACACAGAGACCUCAUGCAUGAGGGUAUGUGUAACCAACAUCUCAGAGAAGUCAGAGCCUGGUGCACAAAGCCCAAAGUUUGCAAACCAGGAAAUGGUCAACCCCUCAAAAUUGCAGCAACCUCAGUCCCUGGGAUACAGACUUAUGAUUGGGUCACAGAGGUCACAUUCAGGAUCCAGAAUCAAAAAAGAUCAGACACCCUUGUUUUGGAUAACAUCUAUGAUCUCAUGAGCAUAGGAUGAGGAAUGUCGGGUUGCAUCACAUUUUGCACAUCGCUACUCUGCAGAGCUCAAACCCUAAUUCUGGACAUGCAGAACAAAAACUGCAGAGAAUGUAUAUGGUAGACACAGCACCUAAAACAGAUCACACACCUCACACACCAGCACACACAUUUAUAAAAAACCCUGAGAUCCUUCACUCUGGACACAAGCCCCUCAGGGCUCAACAGAUCUCACAUCCUGCACAGACAUCCUGAAACGACUCAGACAACUGACAACCUAUAAUGGGCCAGGGACCUCCCAGUCUGGACGCGGACCUUGAAACAACUCAGAGUUGUGUUAGAUGGCCUUAGAAACCUACAAGUUCACCCCUUCUAGGAUCCAUGCCAGAUAGGGCCACAGCCAGGUUUCUCCCAGUCUCCUGAGUGAGACACAGGGGUGGAAUGAAAGAGAAAGGAGGGCCAGGCAUGGUGGUGCAUGCCUGUAAUCCCAGCAGUUUGGGAGGCAGAGACAGGAGUUUUGUGAGUCCAAAGCCAGCCUCAGCAAUUUUCAAGACACUAUGCAACUCAGUUCAGCCCUCACUGUAAAUAAAAUACAAAAAUUGGGCUGAGGCUGUGGAUUAGUGGUUGAGUGCCCCUGAGUUGAAUCCCUACUACCGAGAGAGAAAUAGAGAAGAAUGAGAAUGAACCCCUACAUCUGGGCCCUGGUCCAAGCACCUGAGUAUCCUUUUCCAGGGGAUGAAGACCCAGGUUCUGCCCUCAGAGGCUGCUUCUGGGCAGUGAUUCACAUAUACCGAGGCCUGAUGCACCCUGGAGUCCUGUGCCUGCCAGAUUGGGGAUAUGUUCUAGGUUAAGAUGUCUUGUGCCAUCCUGGAAAUGAACCCUCAUUGCCCUCAGGCUUGAGAUGCCCUUAUGCCACAGAAUCACUCUUUGGGUAAGGAGAGGCUGAGUGUGUCCCUGUGAACGAACCACAAUGGUCUUCUAGUGGUCAUAGCAGAGCUGAUGCUUCAGGGAACCCGCCUCCAGCUCAACAAUGGACCUCCUGCCCAGCAUCCUGUUCACCCUGAAUGGUGCCCUUCUGACUCUUGAGCAUGUGGAUCCAGGAGCCCCCUGAUUUCCUCUGCCCUCCUCAACCCUGAACAGAUGGCCCUCUGCAGAUCUUUUGAGCAUGAAUGACUCAAGAUUAAAAGGGGAGAUGGUGAAAGUGUUUGCCGCAGAGUGCCAGGGCUAUAUGACACAGACCGUACAACCCCGCCCCCUCAUCAACCCCUCACUCCCAGUCCUUUCUGUCCUCCUCUGAGUAUGCUUGUCCCCUCCUCCCAAUUCAUAAAUCAGGUAUAAAGGGAAUGGGGUGUGAGGGUCUCUGUACUUACACAUAGCUUGGUGUAAGUUGACAGAGCAGAUAUAUUCCCGCACAUAGACCAUGAGAGCAACCCUGGUGUAGGACUGUUUAUUCAUGGGCAGUCACAGCUGGGAGGCUGUGCUGUUUUGGGACUGAGGCUGAUGUGGCCUUGCUAGUGGGCCUCAUCUUCUUUGGAGACACACACUGGCUCAUAUCUGAUCCCCUGGUGGAUCUCCACUCCCUGAGGACUCAGUCUCAUACCUGCAGUGUUUCUGGAGAUGUUUCAACAAAGUCAGGGCUUAAUUGAUGCCUGGUGAUAAAUUUGUUCCCUUAAGAAUCCACCUAAGCCCUAAUUACCAAGAUGCUCUCAACAUCUCUGCUGCCUAAUGCCUAAAAACACAUCAUUUGAGCAUUUACUUCUUUUUAUGGAUCAGGUUGCCGUCUCCCUGGAGGAAUCAGGACUGGUUCUGGAGGAACCCAAUCCUCUUUGAACUGCACCCAUGGGUAUUCUGGGGAACAUAUUUCUGACUGUGAAUGGUUUUCUUGGUGUGUCUGUAAACUGAUAUUGGGCUUUCAGAUCAAUAUAAUGGGAUCCAAUCAGCAUUUAUCAAUGAGCCAGUGAUCUUACUGACCUGGUAAUACCUUAAGCCUUUUGUACAGGUGAGUCGACUGAGGUUCCAGGGCAGGAUCCUGAACUCUCCCAAUCCACCUCCACUUUGCUAUUUGAAGCCCCACCUUUGGGGCUGUAUGUUUCCAAACUAGGACAAUACCCCUGACACCCAGACCAUGCAUGUUCUCUAACCUGGAAGGUCCUGAAUGGGCAAUCACAUUAACCACAUAGAUUUUAGUGUCAUCCUUAAUUUCUGCCCUGCUGCUCCACCCUGGGACCAUUCACUUAUCUCUUCACCCUUGUUCCUGGCUGCACUAGGGCUAGAUCUGUAGAGCCAAGUAGCUGGGCCCAUAAAUGGAAUGAUGGUGACCUGAGAGGCUGCAGAGGCCUCACCCUGACUGGAUGUGUGGAGGUUCCUGCUUGGUGGGGAGCCCAAUACACAUGACACAGAAUGGUUUAUUUUAAAAUACAGGGCUCCCUUCCCCAGUGGUGUUUCCCAAAGUGUACUGCUUCAUCUGGGCCACUAAAGUGGUACAUUUCAGUGCAGGGAGGUUUCAUCCAGCCUGUUCCUUCUCAGUGUCCCCAGUGUCUGUGAUUCUCCCAGAAGGGGCUGUUUCAACCUAUUUCUUUUAAAAGUUGUUUUUAUUGGUGCAUUAUCAUUAUACAUAAUAGUGGGGUUCCUUUGACCUAGUCAUACGUGCGUGGAAUAUAAGUUGCUCCAUUUCAGUCCCUGGUGCUAAUUUUAGGCUGUUUCUAAUGAGUCUUUUCAUCUCUAUCCCUCACCCCACCCCGGACAGUACAUCCAAUGGGUGUUGCCUUUGUGACCCUGACACUGCUCAGUGGACGAUUCCAUUCCCAUCUCACUUCUCCUAAUAUUGUCUAAUGGGCCACGCCAGUUGCAUAUUCCUGUUCUUGUAGAGUGCCUAGUGUAGAGUCCAGCCUCCUAGCUGGAGCCCCUGCCCCGGGAGUGGUACUUAGGAUGUCACGAAUGGGACAUUCCUUCCCCUCCCCACUGACAGAACUGUGAAUCAACAAGACAGCUGCAGGUCUCUGUGUCUGCAUCGAUCAUUAAAUUCUACCACCUCCCCCUCAGUGGAGGGAGACUGUUGUUCACUAUAUUCUUUGCUUUCUCCCCAGCACCUAGAACAGUGUCAGGCACAGAAUAGGCCCUCCAUUGAUGUUGGUAAGGAAAGCAUCCUUUGACCUGGCAAUUCCAUGGCCAACGGUAUGUCCUGGGAAUGCAUAGUUUGUCCUGAUCACAGUGCCUUUCUCCAUGGCGUGGUAUUAAUGGAGAGUAGCAAGAAGGAGAUGCUCAUACCUACCCAACUCAAACCAAGUGCCUCACAUGUGCUAGGCAAGCACUCUACUACUGAGCUACAACCACAUCCUCACCUUUUGAGAGAGCGACUCAUUUGCUGUGGGACUUGCCCAACUCACUUAGGGAUGAAGUGAAGCGUGUGCCUCGAAUGUGUAAACCAAAAGAAUUGGACUGGAGUAACCUCAUUCCAUCCUAGUACACUGGUGGUCUCAUUGAUAUGUUGGCUCUGGUGGAAUCUCCAUUGCAAUGUUUCCACAUCUCUCCCCACUGGAGCCAUACCAUCCAGUUCAUCAUCAAAUUCUGCAAACUGGGAAAACUCUCUCCGAUGGUGUUCUGGAAAUGCCCAAUGAGCAUCAUCACAGAGGAGCCAAUCAGCUGGAAGUUUUCUGGGGCCACUUUGGCUGCGGCUCUUAACACACCAGCAGCAGAAGUCUGCAGAGAUCACUAAGAUAAAAUAGUGCAGUGUGCUGCAGAGUGGAUCAUUCACAGGAUCAGAAGAGACGAGAUCAGAAGAGAAGAGAUGUCUUGCACAUUACCGAAAGCUAGGAAUAGGAACUAAAAUGUUAAAUAAUGCCUUAAAGAUCUGUGGAAAAGAUGGCACUUAUUUUGGCGGGGGGAGUACUGGGCAUUGAACUCAGGCACUGGACCACUGAGCCACAUCCCCAGCCCUAUUUCGUAUUUUAUAUAGAGACAGGGUCUCACUGAGUUGCUUACCUCCCUCCUUACUUUUGCUGAGGUUGAACUUGUGAUCCUCCUAUUCCAGCCUCCCAAGCCAUUGGGAUUACAGGCAUGCACCACUGCACCAGGCAUGAUGGCACUUUUGACAACAUCUGUUUACAUGUUUGGAUCAGCAAUGAGCCAGUAAUUGAUUUCUACAGGAAGUUUGGCUUUGAGACUAUUGAGAUGAAGAAGAACUACUGUAAGAGGAUAGAAACUGCAGAUCAUAUCCUCAUGUCCUUCAGAAACCCCCCAAGUUUCUUCUGGUCAGAAUGCAGAUGUAUAGAAGGCAGACAACUGAACAAAUUACAAAUGACCUAUCUUGUACUUCCUUGUUACCAAAUAAAAAUGAAUCACAUCGAUCCUC